rnacentral:rRNA from 1 species
CAGCCGCCGCGGGAAUACGAAGGGUGCAAGCGUUAAUCGGAAUUACUGGGCGUAAAGCGUGCGUAGGCGGUUUGUUAAGUCUGUUGUGAAAUCCCCGGGCUCAACCUGGGAAUGGCAAUGGAUACUGGCAAGCUAGAGUGUGUCAGAGGAUGGUGGAAUUCCCGGUGUAGCGGUGAAAUGCGUAGAGAUCGGGAGGAACAUCAGUGGCGAAGGCGGCCAUCUGGGACAACACUGACGCUGAGGCACGAAAGCGUGGGGAGCAAACAGGAUUAGAUACCCCCGUAGUCCCUGUCUCUUAUAC